CGAGCUGUGGUGCGUGCCGCUAAGUUGUGCGUUCCAGGGUGCACUCGCCGGCGAGGCUGCACGGCGCCGGUUUCAUUGCUAAAAUCCGACGGACUUGUUGCAGAACUCGUUUUUUUUGUCGGGAAAGGGCUUCCCCGUGUAACUUUACAGCAGUUAUCGUAGAUAAGACUUGCAAAUUACAGAUGUGGACGGUGAGGGAACGGGAAUUUCACUGAAAGCGCCUGAGAACCAGUAAGAGACCUGCAACAGCUUUGUGCUCCACUGGCGAAUGCUUCCUCCCCUAAUACACAUUAUGUGUGCUUGGAGACACAAGGAGUAAGAUACAGCCCCUCAAGGGACUCGUCAUAGGGAGAGGACACAGCUUUGGGAAUAAAGGGGCCACAAAGGAGGAGAGAGGAGUUUGCUGAAACUUCCCAAGCUCCCAUUCCAGCAGUUCCUGAAGGAUUCAUUUCUCUCUGAGGAUCUCAUGAGGUGGCUUAGCAGCUAGAAUCUCUUCCUUAACAGUGGGAAGAACAACUCCUGGAAAUUUAGGUCGACUUUGACUGGAUUUAAAAGAAAGCUGUACAAUUCCACUUCUGUAUAUACAACCAAAGGAAAUGAGAUGUGCAUACCCAUGUUCAAUGAAGCAUUAUUCACAAUAGCCAAAAUGUGGAACCAAUCCUUAAACAAAAGGAAAACAGAAAAUCUGCUCAAGGCACCUGAGAAAAUCACAACCCACACUUGCGAACCCCUAGGAGACCUAAAGCUGUGGUUUUACAAAUAAACAGAUAAGUAACAUUCCUACUCUUUCCUAUAGGUACUCAAUCUUCUUAACAACUCCCAUCCCACACAGGUUUGCAUCCCCAGCAGAUACAUAUGGCUAUGUGGUCACCCAUUCGAUCAGCCUAUAAAAGACUUGUCUUAUUUGAUAUUGUGAAACCCAUGGUUAUCAGUGUAUAUGAAAAUGUUUGGUUCAGGGGUCAAUGUACAAUAUGACAAGCAAAGUCCUCUAAUACACAGUUAUAUAAAAUCACUCACCUGAGAGCCAAGUGGACAAUUGGCCUUAUAUUGGCUGGAGUUGGAGCCCCAGAGGGAAAAUUUGCCUAUUAUUAGGCAACUCUUCAAAACUUUACUUAUUCGUUUCUAAACACUGUCUCAUAAAAUGGGGGAUGCUUUAGAUGAAUUAAGAUUAGCACUAGAUUACUUAUUCGUUGAAAAUUAGCACUAGAUUUCUUAUUGGUUGAACAAGGAGGAGUGUGCACCAUAAUCAAUAUAACCUGCUGCAGUUAUGUAAACACCUCAGGUCACAUAGAAGAAGAUAUACAGAAAAUACAUGAACAAGCUGUGUGGUUGCGUAAAUAUAACCAAGGCACCAAUCCCAACUGUAUCUGGUCAGCCAUUAGAAGCACCCUCCUGAGUCUCACUUGGUUGUUGCCCUUCCUAGGAACUUUGAUAGUUGUCUUAUUAUUAAUCUUUGGCCCUUGCUUGUUUAAAUUCUUGGUAAAGUUUGUGUUUUUUAGAUUACAACAAUUCCACAUAAAGAUGAUACUGACACAAAGCUUCCAAUCCAUCCCGUCUUCUGAACCGGGAAAUAAAGACACCCUGCCUUUAGGUGUCUUUAGAUCUAGAUCAGGCAUCUAGAGAUUUUUACUCCUCCAAUACUUGGCAGGGUCUAUGCCCGUAGACUCAUCAGGAUACCAUGUAAAUGAGGACCUCCCUUGGUACCCCAGAGGCCAACUGUAGACCCUUAUGAGAAAAUCCUGUCCCCAAAAUGAACAUCCACUGUCAGCAGGAAGAAGUUACAGAAGACCAGCCUUUGCCCUUACGAUUAAGGGUCCUCUUGUAAGUAGAGAGGGGAAUGUUAGGAAAGCAGGAGCCUAGGUGAUCCAGAGUGACACCAUUUUAAAAUAAACUCCACCUGAAAACUAGCAAGGCAUCUGCACACAUCUGUUUAGCAAGUAUAUACUUCUGUAACUGGAAUAAAAAGCGUUAUUUUAGAAUAUGCCUAUAGUUUGUAAUAAUUAGCCGAGGGAAAAAAAGUUCACAUUGGUGUAGGAAAAGUGCCCUAAUGGUCAUGGGUAAUAAUGGGACCGUGGUUCUGGUCAGUGAUUUGAUGGAAGGGGUGUAGAUAAUAUAUUGUUGUAAAUAAUAAAAAUAAAAAAUUGUUGUAAGUAAUAAAAAUAAAAUAAUAUUGUUGUAAGUAAUAAAGUAGGAGAAAUAUUUGGUCUUUUGCUUUUGGGUUAGUGCAACAGUAGUACCAUUACUUGGAGGAGAAGUUAGAGAAGGACAAGAAUAGGCUUGAAUAAGAUGAGUGAGAAGAGAGAAAAAUUCCGUAAGUGGAGAUGGCCAGGGAACACCAGGGCAGCAGAAUCUAACUCUGAAUUUAAUGCUGUUGUCUGUUCAUAUUGCACUGCGCUGUAAUCUCCCUAUCUUUCCUAAACCAUUGGCAAAGUCUGCUAUCCACUGGGGCCUUGGGUCGGUGGUGCUUUGGGAAAUACCAGAAGAGGGAAAGUACGGCAAAUGUGCAGUGUCACAGAUGAUAGGAGGAAAGCUGGCCAGUGGGAUGAUUAAAACAAUUUCGGUGGGAGUGGGAAUUCAGACCAUGUAAAUGGUCUGAAUUAAGAAAAUUUCAAGAAACAAAAAAUGUUUCUAAUGAGCCAAAGUGAAAGCUCUUCAUGAUUUCUUUAUAGAGGCUCUCUAGUGCUUGUCCUAAUUUCCUGAAAUCUCAUGGGUAUCUUACUCUCCUGGUGCCCGCCUCAAACAUUCACUGUAGCAAUUAUAUGAGCAGCCUAGAGAAUCCCAAUCCCAGUGGUCUUGCUCCCUGGAUCUACUUUCUCUUAAAAAUCAUUCCCCUAAGUUUCCGUCACUUGGUUGAAGUUUAGUAGAUAUCUCCACAUCUCCAGCUAGAACAGCACCAGAAUUUCAGGACUAGGGCAAUAGAGUCUGAUAUUAAAUUCUAUUUCUAUCUAUCUAUCUAUCAUCUAUCUAUCUAUCUAUCUAUCUAUCUAUCUAUCUAUCUAUCUAUCUACAGAACAAUUUGUGGGAUAGUAGCUUUGGGGUCCCAGAUCUAGGAUGGGCCUGGUCCUCCAUGCUGGUUCUCCUGGGUGAUAUUUCUGUUAGUUUGAACAGUAAUCACACUUUUAUUACUGUUUCAUCUUUUUUUUUUCACUCUUAGACUGAUUUUAUCAUGUGUAUAAAACAUACACACACCUACAUCUCAAGGAUAAACAUUAAUCCUUGAAAAAUAUGUGGUCUAAAACUAUAUUGAGGAGAGAAAGAUAGGACACUUUAAUUGCCACAUGAUUAACACGAGGUCACCACACAGCUUUCACAAAUCUACAAGUCAUUCUAUUUAGGCUGAGUCAAGUUCUCCCUUGGGCCAGCCAGAGCACAAAUAAUGGAGCAAUGUGACUCUUCAAUGACAGAUCUCUGAUUUCCAGAAAAGAGACUUUGAAAUACCCAAUUCUAGUAAAUAUGCAAUUAAAUUUCCAGCUAAAUGACCUUUGCUCCUGUAGUCUUCAUCUUGGGGAAGGGAAAGAAGUCUUAUUCUGUUUAAUAGUUUGAUUUUUAUAAUAGGGUUUGUCUCUGUUAUAAAUCUUGUUUGAUAUUUAAAAUGUUAGCUAAGAGAAAACUUCUGUUUGUUUUUAUUUAGUGGGAAGAAACUAACCCUCAUUGAGUGCCUAGUUAACAUCAGGCACUUUGUACACAUAAUCAAUUGAAUCUUGACCACAACCCUGUGAGAUCCAUGGAUGAUUCUGGGUUUAGUUCUUUGUGAGACUGCCAGAAACUCCCAGAGGCUGGAUCUAUGCAUAAAGAGAGGCCAUUGGAGAGAAUGUCUACUGAAUUGCUGAAGACAAUUGCUACCGAGAAUAGAUCGUAACUUAGGAAGAAACAAUUCAGUACCAAAAGAGUAAUUGGAGCCCUUCUGGAAAACACUAGUGAAAAAUGAGAAGAUUAAAUAAGCCAUGGGAAGAUUUUUUAAAAUGACAUGAAACUCCAAGGGUAAAAAGUAGGAUGUUCAACAUGAUCAAUGCCAAAUAAAUAUCAGAAUACUUGGAAGUAAAGUACUAAUAGUAGGAGUUCCUGAUUAUCAGGUGCCUAUGAUGUGACAGGCACAUUGUGGCCUGUGCUCGACCAGGAGACUGCUUUUCCAGGCUGAGAUCAAAGACGGAGAUGUGCCUACCCGCAGAUCCUAGAUGGCCAUGUUUGCAACAGAGGUAAUGAUGAGCAGUGCGAAGAUGUGACUCCAAAGCCUGGAGAAGGACAGACCAGCAUCCCUGCAAGAGAUCCAACUGUCUUCUUUUCCGCAGAGGUCCAUAAUUUACAUGGGCCUGACAAAGAAUACUGUAACUUGCAGAAAUUAUCUUCAGUUCAAAUCCUUCAUUUUGGGGGUUAAAUAACUUGGUAAGAUAAUGAGAUUAAUAUUAUUGUAAAGAUUGCUAGAAAGAAUUGUAACAGUUCAUGUAUGUGCAUAAAUAACAACCUUAAAGCAUGUUUUGGGAUGAGGUGCAAAAUGAAAAUUGGGAGAGGGACUUUAGUAGCAGUAAACAGAACUUGAGAAUGGAAUAGAUGCAUACUCUAUAGCACACUGCAAUAAAUAGAAUACAUUUUAAGUUCCUAGAGAAAUUUUUGAAAAUGCCACAUUCAAAGCCAUCAAUCCCUACUCAAUUAGCAUUUCAUUUUGAUUUUGGUACUGAAGCCCAAGAUGUCGAGGGAGCGGAAAUACUUGCUGGUCUUGCAGCGGCUGUGGAGCCUGGAAUCCUGCCAAGAAGAGCAUGUGUGAGAGAUCAAAAUGUUUGCUUACAUUCCUCCUGUGAAGGGAGUUGGGAAAUAACCUAAGAAGCCCAAUCCAAAAACAAAGAUGUACCAUCCAGUCUUCUCUGUGAGAACCAAACUACAAACCAUCUGAAUGUUCCAAAAGUGUUUUGAUGAUGUAUUGAUGUAUUUUAAAUUAUCCUGAAAAUGUUCUUGGCAGAUGCUUAAACAUGUAAUUACUGAGAUGAUGUAGAAAUACCAAGUGUUUAUUAAAACAAUACAGAGUAAUACAAAUGGUAUGUUUGUCGCAAUAUAAAAGUAUCUAAAAAUUAAAGAGUUCUUUAAUGGUGGAGAUUGUUUUCCUUUUUGAAGUUAAAAUAUAAAUUUUUGUAAAAAGCACAAAUUAUUACUAUUUAUAGCUAACAUUUAUGGAGUGCUGACUAUGCUCAUUUUUGAGCAUACAUUGCCUCAUUUAGUGCAAUGUUUAGCAUUAACUUAUGAGGUAAAUGCCAUUGCCAUGCACAUUGUACAGAUGAAGACAUUGAGGUUUAGAGAGAUUGCAU
rnacentral:lncRNA from 10 species